rnacentral:tRNA from 1 species
GGUCUGUUGGUGAAGCGGUUAACACAUUGCCCUCUCAAGGCAACAUUCACGGGUUCAAAUCCCGUACAGAUCACCA